UCAGUUGGUCAGAGCGCGCGCUUGGUAAGCGCGAGGUCGGGAGUUCGAACCUCCCUAGA
rnacentral:tRNA from 14 species